UACGAAGGUGGCAAGCGUUGUUCGGAUUUACUGGGCGUACAGGGAGCGUAGGCGGUUGGGUAAGCCCUCCGUGAAAUCUCCGGGCCUAACCCGGAAAGGGCGGAGGGGACUGCUCGGCUAGAGGAUGGGAGAGGAGAGUGGAAUUCCUGGUGUAGCGGUGGAAUGCGCAGAUAUCAGGAAGAACACCCGUGGCGAAAGCGGCUCUCUGGAACGGUACUGACGCUGAGACGCGAAAGCGUGGGGAGCGAACAGG
rnacentral:rRNA from 1 species